GAUGAACGCUGGCGGCGUGCCUAAUACAUGCAAGUCGAGCGAACGGACGAGAAGCUUUCUUCUCUGAUGUUAUCGGCUGUCGGGUGUUUAACACGUGUAUAACCUACCUAUUAGACUGGGAUAACUUCGUGAAACCGUUUCUUAUACCGGAUAAUAUUUUGAUCCGCAUGGUUCAAAAGUUAUUGACGUUCUUUCUGUCACUUAUAGAUUGAUCCGCGCUGCAUUAGCUAGUUGGUAAGGUAAAGGCUUACCAAGGCAACGAUGCAUAGCCGACCUGAGAGGGUGAUCGGCAAAACGGGAACUGAGAAAGGGAAAAGAGGACGAAGGGAGGAAGCAGAAGGGAAUAUGCCGAAAUGGGCGAAAGCAUGAAGGAGCAACGCCGCGGGAGUGAAGAAGGACUAAGGAUCGUAAAACUAUGUUAUUAGGGAAGAAAAAAAGUGUAAGUAAAUGAGAACAUAAUGACGGUAACAAAAAAGAAAGCAACGGCUAACUACGUG
rnacentral:rRNA from 1 species